rnacentral:rRNA from 1 species
AACAAGCCACGGCUAAUUACGUGCCAGCAGCCGCGGUAAUACUUAGGUGGCGAGCGUUGUCCGGAAUUAUUGGGCGUAAAGGAUGCGUAGGUGGAUAUUUAAGUGGGAUGUGAAAUCCCCGGGCUCAACCCGGGAACUGCAUUCCAUACUGGAUGUCUAGAGUGCAGGAGAGGAAAGUGGAAUUCCUAGUGUAGCGGUGAAAUGCGUAUAUAUUGGGAGGAACACCAGUGGCGAAGGCGACUUUCUGGACCGUAACUGACACUGAGGCAUGAAAGCGUGGGUAGCAAACAGGAUUAGAUACCCUGGUAGUCCACGCCGUAAACGAUGGGUACUAGGUGUAGGAGGUAUCAACCCCUUCUGUGC